rfam:Zea mays cultivar B73 chromosome 7, whole genome shotgun sequence.
ACUCUAGUAUUGACCCCGAUCCACAUGUUUUGAGGUGGAUUGGGGUGUAACUUAAAUUAUUUUACACCUUAAUCCACCUCAAUACAUGUAGAUUGAGGUCAAUACUAGA